rnacentral:tRNA from 1 species
CAAAAAAUGGCAGAGCGGUUUAAUGCAUCGGUCUUGAAAACCGACGUAGCUUCGAUUGCUCCCCAACAGGAGCGAUCCGGAUGCCUUUGUCAGGAAAGCUAUUCAGGAGUUCUGAAGCUUUUUUUA